AUAGGUUCGGGGUGGAAGCGUGGCAACACGCGGAGCUGACGAAUACUAAUCGGUCGAGGGCUUAACCAAA
rnacentral:rRNA from 1 species